rnacentral:rRNA from 1 species
GACGAACGCUGGCGGCGUGCCUAAUACAUGCAAGUAGAACGCUCAAGGGGGAGCUUGCUCUUCUGGAUGAGUUGCGAACGGGUGAGUAACGCGUAGGUAACCUGCAUGGUAGCGGGGGAUAACUAUUGGAAACGAUAGCUCAUACCGCAUAACAGUAGAUGUUGCAUGACAUUUGCUUAAAAGGUGCAAUUGCAUCACUACUAGAUGGACCUGCGUUGUAUUAGCUAGUUGGUGGGGUAACGGCUCACCAAGGCGACGAUACAUAGCCGACCUGAGAGGGUGAUCGGCCACACUGGGACUGAGACACGGCCCAGACUCCUACGGGAGGCAGCAGUAGGGAAUCUUCGGCAAUGGACGGAAGUCUGACCGAGCAACGCCGCGUGAGUGAAGAAGGUUUUCGGAUCGUAAAGCUCUGUUGUAAGAGAAGAACGAGUGUGAGAGUGGAAAGUUCACACUGUGACGGUAUCUUACCAGAAAGGGACGGCUAACUACGUG